UACGGAGGGUGCAAGCGUUAAUCGGAAUUACUGGGCGUAAAGCGCGCGUAGGCGGCUGGAUAAGUCGAUUGUGAAAGCCUUGGGCUCAACCUGAGAAUUGCAGUCGAGACUGUUCGGCUAGAGUGUGGGAGAGGGUGGUGGAAUUCCCGGUGUAGCGGUGAAAUGCGUAGAUAUCGGGAGGAAUAUCAAUGGCUAAGGCGACCACCGGGAUCUACACUGACGCUGAGGUGCGAAAGCGUGGGUAGCAAGCAGG
rnacentral:rRNA from 1 species